rnacentral:rRNA from 1 species
AGGGCGCAGGGCGGAUGCCUUGGCUCACGGAGGCGAUGAAGGACGUGAUAAGCUGCGAUAAGCUUCGGGUAGGUGCAAAUGACCAUUGAUCCGGAGAUUUCCGAAUGGGACAACCCGGCAGUCUGAAGGACUGUCAUCCUGGCAUCAGUCAGGAGGCGAACCGAGGGAACUGAAACAUCUUAGUACCUCGAGGAGAAGAAAAUAAAAUAAUGAUUCCCCCAGUAGUGGCGAGCGACCGGGGAAGAGCCCAAACCGCCGUUGUGGCAACGCAAGGGCGGUGUUGUAGGACCACGUCAUUGUACUAUGAAGGUGAACGGAACGUUCUGGAAAGAACGGCCAGAGAGGGUGAAAGCCCCGUAUGUGAAACCUGAAGAGGCAUAGUGGUAUCCUGAGUAACGCGGAACACGAGGAAUUCUGCGCGAAUCCGCCGGGACCAUCCGGCAAGGCUAAAUACUCCCGUGAGACCGAUAGUGAACCAGUACCGUGAGGGAAAGGUGAAAAGCACUUCCAUUAGAAGGGUGAAAUAGAUCCUGAAACCCUGCGCCUACAAGCGGUCGGAGCACCUUAUGGUGUGACGGCGUGCCUUUUGCAUAAUGAACCUACGAGUUGCCGUCACCGGCAAGGUUAAGGAUGAGAACAUCCCGAGCCGCAGUGAAAGCGAGCCUGAAGAGGGCGCCAAGUCGGUGGAGGCAGACGCGAAACCAAGUGAUCUACACUUGGCCAGGAUGAAGUUCCGGUAACACGGAAUGGAGGUCCGCACCAAUAAGCGUUGAAAAGCUUCUGGAUGAGCCGAGUGUAGGAGUGAAAGGCCAAUCAAACUUGGAGAUAGCUCGUACUCCCCGAAAUGCAUUUAGGUGCAGCGUAGUACGAUCACGCAGAGAGGUAGAGCGACCGAUAGGAUGAGAGGGCUUCACCGCCUAUCAAGUCCUGACGAACUCCGAAUGCUCUGCGUCCGCAGUACUGCAGUAAGGGCAUGGGUGCUAAGGUCCGUGCCCGAGAGGAGAAGAAUCCUGACCGCCGUCUAAGGCCCCGGAAUUCUGCCUGAGUUAGUCUAACGAAGUAUGGUCCCUGUGACAGCUAGGAUGUUGGCUUGGAAGCAGCCAUUCAUUCAAAGAGUGCGUAACAGCUCACUAGUCGAGGGUCCGUGCGUGGAUAAUAAUCGGGUAUAAGGCAGAUGCCGAAGGCGCGGGAUAGUAUAUUGAUUUAUAGUAUCGGUAGGGGAGCAUUCCAUGCAGCGUCGAAUCAGCGGGACGACCCGCUGUGGAGCGCAUGGAAAAGCAAAUGUAGGUAUAAGUAACGAUAAGGGGGGUGAGAUUCCCCCCCGCCGCAAGACCAAGGUUUCCCGGGCAACGUCAGUCGUCCCGGGGUCAGUCGGGUCCUAAGUCUAAGCCGAACGGCGAGGGCGAUGGCAGACACGGUUAAUAUUCCGUGACUGCCGUAUGGAGUGACGCGGGGACGGAGCAGUGGAACCGCCGCGUGCUGACGGAAUAGCACGUUGAAGGGUGUAGGAGUCGACCAUGCGAGGCAAAUCCCGCAUGUGAUCCGAACCUGACAGUACGGUCCUCCCUUCGGGGAGAACCGAUAGCGCGGGUAAUCAGACUCCCGAGAAAAUCCGCUAAACAUAAUCCAUACGGCACCCGUACCGUAAACGGACACACGUAGUCGGGUAGAACAUACUAAGGCGUUGAGAGAUUCAUGGUUAAGGAACUAGGCAAACUGACCCCGUAACUUCGGGAUAAGGGGUCCUCGUGACGAGCGAGGCGCAGAGAAUAGGUCCAGGCAACUGUUUAACAAAAACACAGGGCUGUGCGAACUCGAAAGAUGAAGUAUACAGCCUGACACCUGCCCGGUGCUGGAAGGUUAAGAGGAGAUGUCAUCGCAAGAGAAGCAUUGAAUUGAAGCCCCAGUAAACGGCGGCCGUAACUAUAACGGUCCUAAGGUAGCGAAAUUCCUUGUCGGGUAAGUUCCGACCUGCACGAAUGGUGUAACGAUCUGGACACUGUCUCAACCGUGAGCUCGGUGAAAUUGUAGUAUCGGUGAAGAUGCCGAUUACCCGCGAUGGGACGAAAAGACCCCGUGAACCUUUACUACAGCUUAGCAUUGACCUUGGUCAUCCGAUGUGUAGGAUAGGCCGGAGGCUAUGAGACGGGCGCGCCAGCGUUCGUGGAGCCAUCCUUGAAAUACGGCCCUUUGGCUGUCUGAGGUCUAACGCGCCAACGCGCGGACAUUGUUUGGUGGGUAGUUUGACUGGGGUGGUCGCCUCCAAAAGCGUAACG